rnacentral:rRNA from 1 species
UACAGAGGUCUCAAGCGUUGUUCGGAUUCAUUGGGCGUAAAGGGUGCGUAGGCGGCGCGGUAAGUCGGGUGUGAAAUCUCGGGGCUUAACUCCGAAACUGCAUUCGAUACUGCCGUGCUUGAGGACUGGAGAGGAGACUGGAAUUUACGGUGUAGCGGUGAAAUGCGUAGAUAUCGGGAAGAACACCCGUGGCGAAGGCGGCUACUCUGGGACGGUACUGACGCUGAGACGCGAAAGCGUGGGGAGCGAACAGG